AUUGAACGCUGGCGGCAUGCUUUACACAUGCAAGUCGAACGGUAACAGGCCGCAAGGUGCUGACGAGUGGCGAACGGGUGCGUAAUGCAUCGGAACGUGCCCAGUCGUGGGGGAUAACUACUCGAAAGAGUAGCUAAUACCGCAUACGAUCUAUGGAUGAAAGCGGGGGACCGUAAGGCCUCGCGCGAUUGGAGCGGCCGAUGUCAGAUUAGGUAGUUGGUGGGGUAAAGGCUCACCAAGCCAACGAUCUGUAGCUGGUCUGAGAGGACGACCAGCCACACUGGGACUGAGACACGGCCCAGACUCCUACGGGAGGCAGCAGUGGGGAAUUUUGGACAAUGGGCGCAAGCCUGAUCCCGCAAUGCCGCGUGCAGGAAGAAGGCCUUCGGGUUGUAAACUGCUUUUGUACGGAACGAAACGGCUCUGGUUAAUACCCGGGGCUAAUGACGGUACCGUAAGAAUAAGCACCGGCUAACUACGUG
rnacentral:rRNA from 1 species